ACAUUUAGCCCCAUUUAGAAACGGUUUGAAACCGUGUUAUAACAAAAAAAAAUUAGCACGAAGAAAGCAACUUUAUUUAGCAUGAUUAUAACAACAGUUUUCUAGUUACUUUGUGGAUGCAUGGGCUAAUGCAGCUUUUGGAAAUUAUGCCCUAGGAAAUCUUUUGACUGGCUUUGGAUUCUACAACCCCUAUUGGCUAUUAGACAUUGCCAAUGUUGCAAUCGUCGUUCACCUUGUUGGUGUCUAUCAGGUCUAUUGUCCAUCGAGAUGCAUUAUUCUCAGAAGAAGAUCGGGCGAUAGACGAGCCAUUGGCUAGGGCUUCCGAUUUUCAGUAUGAGUUGCCUCGUGGUCACCGUAGCUGCAGCUGUUGGCUCUGUUGCCGGGAUUGUGUUGGAUCUCUAAACUUACAAGCCAUAUUUAAAUCUAGUUACUGAGGUCUGAGAGAGAGAGCAAUGAAUUGAUUACACGCAUUUCAAGCAGUGAAUUUUGUAAGCAAACUAGAUUCGUCAGUUGUGUCAAUAAGUACAUGUAUAUUGUACUUCUAAGAGUCCAGUAAGGACUGAUGUAUCUUUCUCAAUCUACAAGAUAUUUGAGACAAAGAUUUCAUUUUGUCAGCCACCAAUUCACCUCUUAUUCUGUGCUAGUGCCAGGUAAGAAAAGCCUUCGCUGCUGACAUCCAGGUAAAAGAAACGAAUAAUACACAAAACUUGAUCCCUUAAAAUCAUCCAUUAGAGAAGUAAAACGAAAUCAACACAUACAUAAAGAGAUUUACAUUCCCUGACAAGCUAUUACAAACUCAACAAACUAAAAAGCAGCCUUGUGGGAUUUCCUCCUCGUU